UAGGUCAGUAAAAAUUGGUAAUCCCAGGG
rnacentral:sRNA from 1 species